CGGGAGGCAGCAGUGGGGGAUGUUGCGCAAUGGGGGCAACCCUGACGCAGCAACGCCGCGUGAAGGAAGACGGUUUUCGGAUUGUAAACUUCUUUAAGUGUGGAAGAAAUUGACGGUACACACAGAAUAAGCCACGGCUAACUACGUGCCAGCAGCCGCGGUAAUACGUAGGUGGCAAGCGUUGUCCGGAUUUACUGGGUGUAAAGGGCGUGUAGGCGGGAUUACAAGUCAGAUGUGAAAUACCGAGGCUUAACUUCGGGGCUGCAUUUGAAACUGUAGUUCUUGAGUGCUGGAGAGGAAAGCGGAAUUCCUAGUGUAGCGGUGAAAUGCGUAGAUAUUAGGAGGAACACCAGUGGCGAAGGCGGCUUUCUGGACAGUAACUGACGCUGAGGCGCGAAAGUGUGGGGAGCAAACAGGAUUAGAUACCCUGGUA
rnacentral:rRNA from 1 species